rnacentral:tRNA from 3 species
UUGCUGUAGCUUAAAACAAAGCAUAGCAUUGAAAAUGCUAAAAUGGUCCUACCCACCAAC